AUUGAACGCUGGCGGCAUGCCUUACACAUGCAAGUCGAACGGUAACAGGUCUUCGGAUGCUGUCGAGUGGCGAACGGGUGCGUAAUACAUCGGAACGUGCCCGAUCGCGGGGGAUAACGAAGCGCAAGCUUUGCUAAUACCUCAUACGAUCUACGGAUGAAAGCGGGGUAUCUUCGGACCUCGCGCGGACGGUGCGGCCGCUGGCAGAUUAGGUAGUUGGUGGGAUAAAAGCUUACCAAGCCGACGAUCUGUAGCUGGUCUGAGAGGAUGAUCAGCCACACUGGGACUGAGACACGGCCCAGACUCCUACGGGAGGCAGCAGUGGGGAAUUUUGGACAAUGGGCGAAAGCCUGAUCCAGCAAUGCCGCGUGCAGGAUGAAGGCCUUCGGGUUGUAAACUGCUUUUGUACGGAACGAAAAGGUGCCUUCUAAUAAAGGGCGCUCAUGACGGUACCGUAAGAAUAAGCACCGGCUAACUACGUG
rnacentral:rRNA from 1 species